UGAAGAUUUGGGGGUCUCUCGAGAAGGUGGAGGGGGCUCCUGGGGGUGGUGGAGGUGGUGGUGGUUGGUUGAGGAGGAGGCAGUUGAAGGGUCAAGAAGGAGGCGAGUAGGGGUCGACCAGGAGGAGUGGGGGUCGACCACGAGACUUGGGGGUCAACCAGGAGUCUUGGGGGUCAACCAAGAGUUAUGGGGGUCAACCAGAAGACUUGGAGGUCAACCAAGACUCCUGGAGGUCAACCAAGAGUUAUGGAGGUCAACCAAGAGUUUUGAAGGUCAACCAAGAGUUAUGGAAGUCAACCAAGACUUAUGGAGGUCAACCAAGAAUUUUGGGGGCCAUCCAAGAGUCAUGGAGAUCAACCAAGAGUCCUGAAGGUCAACCAAGAGUCAUGAAGGUCAACCAAGAGUCAUGAAGGUCAACCAAGAGUCCUGGAGAUCAACCAAGAGUCCUGGAGGUCAACCAAGAGUUUUGAAGGUCAACCAAGAGUCCUGGAGGUCAACCAAGAGUCACGAAGGUCAACCAAGAGUUUUGAAGGUCAACCAAGAGUCCUGGAGGUCAACCAAGAGUUAUGGAGGUCAACCAAGAAUUGUCAAGGUCAACCAAGAGUUGUGGAGGUCAACCAAGAGUUGUGGAGGUCAACCAAGAGUUUUGGAGGUCAACCAAGAGUCCUGGAGGCCAACCAAGACUCAUGAAGUCCAACCAAGACCCCUGAAGGCCAACCAGUAG